rnacentral:lncRNA from 1 species
GUUAAUAAUAUGGUUUUCUAUCGUGCCAUCAACGCCGACCUCGAGGACUCAGGGACUCAAAAGGCAAAGACACCAGGUACUCCAAAGGCCUCCACGAGUACCACUGCGGCGACGACAAAAUCAGUUCUGCUUCCUUCGCCGAUCAUGCAUAAGGUGCUUUUGCCUCAACACCCGAAAUCGGAAAUCAGUUCUUGCCCCACACUUCCAAUGGCACAGUCAACCGUCACCUCCUCCCGGCCCAGGUUGUGGCAGCCAUCGUUAGACUGACCACCUUGGAAGCACGGCUCACCACUUCCGGGACCAGCACCCCAUCUUCCGCGGUUUCAAAGGUCCGUCGUGACCAGCUCCAGAACAUGUGGGCCAAGGUGGAUGCUGAGUUUGAGACCUGUUCGGUGCCAAUGCUGUGCGAGCCCCCUGAAGUCCAAAAGGAAGUUCAGGACAUGUAUGGCGAAUUCUAAGAGGCCUACGAGCGGUGCGUAGCGGACCUCAUUGCCCAAAUUGACCGCCCAGAAGUCCGUCCUCCCGUGCUGCAAGC